rnacentral:rRNA from 1 species
UAAGGAAUAUUGGACAAUGGCCGCAAGGCUGAUCCAGCCAUGCCGCGUGCAGGAUGAAGGUGCUCUGCAUUGUAAACUGCUUUUGUCUGGGAAUAAACCCCUCUACGUGUAGAGGGCUGAGUGUACCAGAAGAAUAAGGGACGGCUAACUUCGUGCCAGCAGCCGCGGUAAUACGAAGGUCCCAAGCGUUAUCCGGAUUUAUUGGGUUUAAAGGGUGCGUAGGCGGCUUUUUAAGUCAGUGGUGAAAGCC